GUAACAGGGGGAGGGGGUGGCGCCACGGCAAUUCCGGCAAGUCGCGUUCCACGGCAAAGAAGUCGUACGUACGCGGAGGAACAACCGCGCGACCAUCGCAAAACUUUUCUUUAUCACUGUACAUAAAACUAUUCCAUAUAUACGCAUACAACGGCGCCAGUUAAUUGAAAUCCGGUAUACAUAGUAGAAAAUUUUAUAUCACACACGCGCACAGUACGUACUCGUACGUAGGACUUUGCGUGUAACUUUGUAAAUACAAAUUUCGAAUUAGAUGAUAGAAAACUAAAAAUAUUAGCCACAAUUUACAUUGAGCGUGAAUAACGUGCAGCUAUGCGAAAUGCAAGUGCAGUGUAGCCGAGUGCAGCUGAGAGUGUUGUAUAUGUAACACGUGUACGUAUACGUUACACGUACGUAAAAUAUACAUACAUAGAAUACGUACUCGUGAAUAGCAAUUCCGAGUCCUCAAGAGAAACGGCAAGGUACCAAUAGUAGCGGUCAGUGCGCGAUAGAAGGUGCCCAGCUGCUCGAUCGAGUCGCGAGCAUGCGUAUAAGAUUAUCAGAGGAAAAAAAGAAUAAGAUUUUUUCAAAUACCAUCCAGACGAACAGGGGGUCAUCUUGUAUCGGCGUCGAAAACGACGAGAUAAUGAGAAUAAAAAAUAAUCAAAUUUGAACGACGCGGGAGACGGAAAAAUUUCAGUAAAAACUCUACGGUUCGAAGCGGCGAUGGAAAAACGCAGACAGAUUUCUCACGAUUCAGACGAUAGGAAAAAAUUUUCUUAGUCAAGUUCUCUGUAUCGAAAAUUUUCAAGUGUCGUUCGUUGUCUAGGUUCCUCGUAUUUUUGCUUCAAAUUCUGAUCGUCUCGAUUUUUUUUUAAUUUUUCUUGUCGCCGCAUACGAUAAUCGCAGUGGGUGUAGAGUGACGUUGAUGCAGUGCGUUUUCAUGCGAGUGAUUUGAACGAAAAAUUGCGAGAAUCUGAGGAAGAAAAAGAAAAAAAUUGUCUAAAAAAAAAUUUUAUCUGCGAACCGGAAGAAAAUUUAUCGCCGAGCUGGAGACCAACGGAGGCAACGCGACCCCUAGAGGGUCCAGUCCGCACGCUGUGACAGUCGGGAAUAUAAACGUAUUAAAAAGCGGCCGGGAUUGACGAACGGAGAACGAAGUCACGGGUGGUCCACACUCGAAACUGCCGCCGCUCACCAUCACUGAUCGCGCUAUUUUCCGCAGCGAGUUUGUACGACAGAAAGAGAAAAAGAAAAAACACUCGAUGGGUCCUAAUAGUCACGUGUCGAAAUAUGGUAGAAAAAAAAAAAAAAAAAAAAAAAAAAAAGGAACGAGGAAGAACAAGGAGAAGAAAAAUGGCAAGAAAUAUCGGACUAAACAAGAAAAAAAAGAAAGAAAGAAAGAUCAUCAAUGGCUUGUCCUCGCUCGACGCCUUUUUUCCUCAGGGAUUGCAGCAGGUCACUUAUUGCCACUUCGUGGUUUCGUUUUUACCAAAGGAAACUUUACCGCCGCUUUUUGGCCGCCCAAGCGCAUGCCGUUCACCGAGAAAAUAUCGCCGGAGGAUAUUUUCCCUGAAAGAGAGGAAAAAAAAUAAUAUAAAUUCAAGUUAGUCAACGAGACGCGACAGUCGUAUAUGCACGUAUGAAUAGUUGUAAAAUGUCUUCAUUGAAUGACACGAGAUAAAAUAAAAUAAAUUAAAAUUGCAUCGUUUCGCUACAAUAUAUCCACCAAAGUCGAUGAUAAUGUUCGUUAUUAUUUUUUUAUUUUUUUUCUUUAGCGAUAAAGUUACGUCUUAAAGAGUUAAUUAUUUAAAUAGCUAUACUAUAUAUAUUACACGUAAGAGAACAGGUCCCUCGUGGGUCCGUAAACGAUAAGAUACGAAGUGGUUGAGUAGUUAGGCUUAGUAAAUAUUUCUGACAUAUCGUGCGGUUAGAGAAAAUUUCUGUACAUACUCCGCUCGCAUGGCCACACAGAGACACACGAGCUGGGUCGUCUACUAAGUUCGUGCCGCAGUUUUCUGGUAAUCUAUCCAGAACGGAAGAGACAAGCCGGUCAUAGUCGGUUACGGUUAUCGCGUCGGGACAGGAAAAACUACAAAAGACGCUAACAAGGUGGAGGAGUUGGCAUGUGGCGGCCCAAGAGACGUGAGGAGAGAAAUAUAGAGAAAGAGAGAGAAAAAAAACAGAGAGAGAGAGAGAGAGAGAGAGAGAA